rnacentral:antisense_RNA from 2 species
CUUCAAGGAGCCGAGCAGCAGUGGCCGUUCGGCGGGCCGGUCCUGCCCGUACGUGGCCAGCAGUGCCUGCGCCUC